rnacentral:lncRNA from 1 species
GAUAUGUCGUUGUAAGCUUUUCUUUGUGCUCUUUGGUUAUCCUCUAUUUUAUCCUCUUGAUUUGAUUAUUGAGAGAUCUACUAUUUAUAGGCUUCAUGAAUAUUUUUCGGUUAGACUGAGUUUGUAGUUUGUAGCCUUGAUACUUGUGUUUUUUUUUUCUUUUUUUUCACAGCAAUCGUUGUGUAAGUCAACUUUGUCAAAGCAGAUGUGCUUUUUCAGUCAUUUGC